UGGGGAAUAUUGCACAAUGGGCGAAAGCCUGAUGCAGCAACGCCGCGUGAGUGAUGAAGGCCUUCGGGUUGUAAAGCUCUGUCUUCUGGGACGAUAAUGACGGUACCAGAGGAGGAAGCCACGGCUAACUACGUGCCAGCAGCCGCGGUAAUACGUAGGUGGCAAGCGUUGUCCGGAUUUACUGGGCGUAAAGGAUGCGUAGGCGGAUACUUAAGUCAGAUGUGAAAAUCCCGGGCUUAACUUGGGAACUGCAUUUGAAACUGGGUGUCUAGAGUGCGGGAGAGGAAAGUGGAAUUCCUAGUGUAGCGGUGAAAUGCGUAGAGAUUAGGAAGAACACCAGUGGCGAAGGCGACUUUCUGGACCGUAACUGACGCUGAGGCAUGAAAGCGUGGGGAGCAAACA
rnacentral:rRNA from 1 species